rnacentral:rRNA from 1 species
UACGGGGGGAGCAAGCGUUGUUCGGAUUUACUGGGCGUAAAGGGCGCGUAGGCGGUCGUGACAAGUCACUUGUGAAAUCUCCGGGCUUAACUCGGAACGGUCAAGUGAUACUGUCGGACUAGAGUACAGAAGGGGCAACUGGAAUUCUCGGUGUAGCGGUGAAAUGCGUAGAUAUCGAGAGGAACACCUGCGGCGAAGGCGGGUUGCUGGGCGUGA